rnacentral:rRNA from 1 species
CCUACGGGCGGCUGCAGUGGGGAAUAUUGGACAAUGGGGGGAACCCUGAUCCAGCCAUGCCGCGUGUGUGAAGAAGGCCCUCGGGUUGUAAAGCACUUUCAGUGAGGAAGAACGCCUGGUGGUUAAUACCCAUCAGGAAAGACAUCACUCACAGAAGAAGCACCGGCUAACUCCGUGCCAGCAGCCGCGGUAAUACGGAGGGUGCGAGCGUUAAUCGGAAUUACUGGGCGUAAAGCGCGCGUAGGUGGCUUGAUAAGCCGGUUGUGAAAGCCCCGGGCUCAACCUGGGAACGGCAUCCGGAACUGGCAAGCUAGAGUGCAGGAGAGGAAGGUAGAAUUCCCGGUGUAGCGGUGAAAUGCGUAGAGAUCGGGAGGAAUACCAGUGGCGAAGGCGGCCUUCUGGACUGACACUGACACUGAGGUGCGAAAGCGUGGGUAGCAAACAGGAUUAGAUACCCGGGUAGUC